GAUGAACGCUGGCGGCGUGCUUAACACAUGCAAGUCGAACGAGAGAAGAUUGGUGCUUGCACUGAUCCGAUCGAGUGGCGGACGGGUGAGUAACGCGUGGGUAACCUGCCUCAUACAGGGGAAUAACAGUUGGAAACGGCUGCUAAAACCGCAUAAGCGCACGGUAUCGCAUGAUACAGUGUGAAAAACUCCGGUGGUAUGAGAUGGACCCGCGUCUGAUUAGCUAGUUGGUGAGGUAACGGCCCACCAAGGCAACGAUCAGUAGCCGGCCUGAGAGGGUGAACGGCCACAUUGGGACUGAGACACGGCCCAAACUCCUACGGGAGGCAGCAGUGGGGAAUAUUGCACAAUGGGGGAAACCCUGAUGCAGCGACGCCGCGUGAGUGAUGAAGUAUUUCGGUAUGUAAAGCUCUAUCAGCAGGGAAGAUAAUGACGG
rnacentral:rRNA from 1 species